GGCUUCCUGGUACUUACUUUACCACAGAGUGUUUUUCCACUGACUGUAUAGAAAAAGGAGGCAGAGAACCCACCUCAUUUAUACCUCAUCUGAGGCUUUGUGCCUGGUCUGUAUUUGAAUAGGAGAACAUGA
ensembl:snoRNA